rnacentral:rRNA from 1 species
GCCUACGGGAGGCAGCAGUGGGGAAUAUUGGACAAUGGGGGGAACCCUGAUCCAGCGACGCCGCGUGAGUGAAGAAGUAUUUCGGUAUGUAAAGCUCUAUCAGCAGGGAAGAAAGAAAUGACGGUACCUGACUAAGAAGCCCCGGCUAACUACGUGCCAGCAGCCGCGGUAAUACGUAGGGGGCAAGCGUUAUCCGGAUUUAUUGGGUUUAAAGGGUGCGCAGGCGGAGGCACAAGUCAGCGGUAAAAUCGCGGGGCUCAACCCCGCUCCGCCGUUGAAACUGUGUCCCUUGAGUGCGCGAAGGG